rnacentral:rRNA from 1 species
AGUGGCGGACGGGUGAGUAAUGUCUGGGAAACUGCCUGAUGGAGGGGGAUAACUACUGGAGACGGUAGCUAAUACCGCAUAACCGCAAACAAAGAGGUGCCAUCGGAUGUGCCCAGAUGGGAUUAGCUAGUAGGUGGGGUAACGGCUCACCUAGGCGACGAUCCCUAGCUGGUCUGAGAGGAUGACCAGCCACACUGGAACUGAGACACGGUCCAGACUCCUACGGGAGGCAGCAGUGGGGAAUAUUGCACAAUGGGCGCAAGCCUGAUGCAGCCAUGCCGCGUGUAUGAAGAAGGCCUUCGGGUUGUAAAGUACUUUCAGCGGGGAGGAAUGACGUUACCCGCAGAAGAAGCACCGGCUAACUCCGUGCCAGCA